AUUGAACGCUGGCGGCAUGCCUAACACAUGCAAGUCGAGCGGCUGAAGAGAGCUUGCUCCUGUGUUCAGCGGCGGGCGAGUGGGUGAGGCAUAUGAAUCUGCCUGGUUGGGGGGGGUGGCGUCCGACAACGGGGGCUGAUAAAGAAUGCGUCAUGAGGGGGGAUGAGGGGGAUGGUCGUACCGCACGCUGUCUGCUGGGCCUGGGUCGGAUUAGCUAGUUGGUGGGGUAAAGGCCUACCAAGGCGACGAUCUGUAUCUGGUCUGAGAGGACGAUCAGUCACACUGGGACUGAGACACGGCCCAGACUCCUACGGGAGGCAGCAGUGGGGAAUAUUGGACAAUGGGCGCAAGCCUGAUCCAGCAAUGCCGCGUGCAGGACGAAGGCCUUCGGGUUGUAAAGUACUUUUGUUCGGAACGAAAAGUAUCUGGCUAAUAUCUAGAGGUCAUGACGGUACUGUAAGAAUAAGCACCGGCUAACUACGUG
rnacentral:rRNA from 1 species